GGAUGCGAUCAUACCAGCACUAAAGCACCGGAUCCCAUCAGAACUCCGAAGUAAAGCGUGCUUGAGUCCUCGUGUUGCAUUUC
rfam:Triticum urartu cultivar G1812 contig1160098, whole genome shotgun sequence.